GGUGGAUGGACUCAAGUGUAUGAUAACAUCCUUUCAUUUGCAACCAUUAGAGGUGCUGCUCAUGAAGCUCCUUUCUCUCAGCCAGAGAGAUCACUUGUUCUUUUCAGGUCAUUUCUUCAAGGCAAGGCACUUCCUGAAGUAUUCUAAGAUCCCAAAUUGGUGAUUGGACAGCCAGAGUAAAUAGGUCUUUCUUGUGCAUACUCUUCACAGUUAAAUGUAAAAGGGUCUUUUUCUUCUUGUUUUUUUGCUUUUGCUCGGAAAGAUUAGAAGUUGUGGAGGUCCGUGUAAGCUUGUUAGAACACCACGAUUAUUCGAAAAGAAAUGAUUAGAAGACUAGAAGAGUCCAAAAAAAAAAAGGUGUGAAAAUAGAUUUAGUUUUCAUUUUCUUUCUUUAAAUUUUGGCUGGCAUGCAAAUGAAUGCAGGAAGAGCAUCUGUAAGCUUUGUUGAAAGCAAAAGGGUCCACCAUGACCAAAUAUUUGAUCUUUC
rnacentral:misc_RNA from 1 species